rnacentral:rRNA from 1 species
AACGGCGAGCUGAAGCGGCAACAGCUCAAAUUUGAAAUCUGGCCCCCAGGGCCCGAGUUGUAAUUUGCAGAGGAUGCUUUUGGCGCGGUGCCUUCCGAGUUCCCUGGAACGGGACGCCAUAGAGGGUGAGAGCCCCGUCUGGUCGGACGCCUAGCCUGUGUAAAGCUCCUUCGACGAGUCGAGUAGUUUGGGAAUGCUGCUCUAAAUGGGAGGUAUAUGUCUUCUAAAGCUAAAUACCGGCCAGAGACCGAUAGCGCACAAGUAGAGUGAUCGAAAGAUGAAAAGCACUUUGAAAAGAGGGUUAAAUAGUACGUGAAAUUGUUGAAAGGGAAGCGCUUGUGACCAGACUUGGGCCCGGUGGAUCAUCCAGCGUUCUCGCUGGUGCACUCCGCCGGGUUCAGGCCAGCAUCAGUUCGCCGCGGGGGAAAAAGGCUUCGGGAACGUGGCUCCUACGGGAGUGUUAUAGCCCGUUGCAUAAUACCCUGGGGCGGACUGAGGUUCGCGCUCCGCAAGGAUGCUGGCGUAAUGGUCAUCAGCGACCCGUCUUGAAACACGGACCAAGGAGUCGUCUUCGUAUGCGAGUGUUCGGGUGUAAAACCCCUACGCGUAAUGAAAGUGAACGCAGGUGAGAGCUUCGGCGCAUCAUCGACCGAUCCUGAUGUUCUCGGAUGGAUUUGAGUAAGAGCAUACGGGGCCGGACCCGAAAGAAGGUGAACUAUGCCUGUAUAGGGUGAAGCCAGAGGAAACUCUGGUGGAGGCUCGCAGCGGUUCUGACGUGCAAAUCGAUCGU